rfam:Ktedonobacter racemifer DSM 44963 strain SOSP1-21 Krac_Contig202, whole genome shotgun sequence.
GUCAUGGACCCCGGUUUGAAAACCGGGGCUUGCAAGAAGUUUGAACGCUUCUUGUAACCCCCAACGGUUGGCAAGCUGAAACAUGACCAGAUCCAGCCACCGCUCUUCUUCGGAGGAGCGAUGGGGCUACGUUAUCAGGAAGUGUCAACGUUCGUACCGGAGGAUGCGCGGCCAGUCUUCCGCUCUACAACCAGCAGGUUAAACAGACCGUGGGUAUAGUCAGUGCUUGCUGGAUGUACCGCCUGAUAACAUCAUCGAGGCCACCAUCAC